rnacentral:rRNA from 1 species
CAGUAGCCGCGGGAAUACGUAGGGUGCAAGCGUUAAUCGGAAUUACUGGGCGUGAAGCGUGCGCAGGCGGUUUGUUAAGACAGAUGUGAAAUCCCCGGGCUCAACCUGGGAACUGCAUUUGUGACUGGCAAGCUAGAGUGUGGCAGAGGGGGGUGGAAUUCCGCGUGUAGCAGUGAAAUGCGUAGAUAUGCGGAGGAACACCGAUGGCGAAGGCAGCCCCCUGGGCCAACACUGACGCUCAUGCACGAAAGCGUGGGGAGCAAACAGGAUUAGAUACCCCAGUAGUCCCUGUCUCUUAUAC